AGGUCUUGACAUACUCGUGCUAUCCUUAGAGAUAAGGAGUUCCUUCGGGACACGGGAUACAGGUGGUGCAUGGUUGUCGUCAGCUCGUGUCGUGAGAUGUUGGGUUAAGUCCCGCAACGAGCGCAACCCUUAUUACUAGUUGCCAUCAUUAAGUUGGGCACUCUAGUGAGACUGCCGGUGAUAAACCGGAGGAAGGUGGGGAUGACGUCAAAUCAUCAUGCCCCUUAUGACCUGGGCUACACACGUGCUACAAUGGAUGGUACAACGAGUCGCCAACCCGCGAGGGUGCGCUAAUCUCUUAAAACCAUUCUCAGUUCGGAUUGCAGGCUGCAACUCGCCUGCAUGAAGUCGGAAUCGCUAGUAAUCGCGGAUCAGCACGCCGCGGUGAAUACGUUCCCGGGCC
rnacentral:rRNA from 1 species